rnacentral:ncRNA from 1 species
UUCUUAUCAAGAGCGACUGAGGGACCAGGCCCAUAGAAGUCCAGCAACCUCCAUAAUGGAACGGUGCUAAAUCCUGCAGAAUGAUUUCAUUCUGAAAGAUAAGGU